rnacentral:rRNA from 1 species
GACGAACGCUGGCGGCGUGCCUAACACAUGCAAGUCGAGCGGGGGGAGUACUUCGGUACAAACCUAGCGGCGGACGGGUGAGUAACACGUGGGUAACCUGCCUCAAAGUGGGGGAUAGCCUUCCGAAAGGAAGAUUAAUACCGCAUAACCCAUAGCUUCCGCAUGGAAGCAAUGGUAAAGAUUCAUCGCUUUGAGAUGGACCCGCGGCGCAUUAGCUAGUUGGUGAGGUAACGGCUCACCAAGGCCACGAUGCGUAGCCGACCUGAGAGGGUGAUCGGCCACAUUGGAACUGAGACACGGUCCAGACUCCUACGGGAGGCAGCAGUGGGGAAUAUUGCACAAUGGGCGAAAGCCUGAUGCAGCAACGCCGCGUGAGUGAUGAAGGCCUUCGGGUUGUAAAGCUCUGUCUUUUGGGACGAUAAUGACGGUACCAAAGGAGGAAGCCACGGCUAACUACGUGCCAGCCGCCGCCGUAACAC